ensembl:snoRNA LOC120103312 small nucleolar RNA SNORA17
UCUGACCUGAUUGUACUGCAGGUGUGGCUGUUGUGUUACAUGUGUAGGUGGCAGAGAGAAGAGAGGCUGUGGCUACACUCAGUGUUCCAACUUAGGAACAUUGGAAUUAUUGGCAGCCUAACACU